rnacentral:rRNA from 1 species
AGCGAACGCUGGCGGCAUGCUUAACACAUGCAAGUCGCACGGUCGGGGUAACCCGGCAGUGGCGGACGGGUGAGUAACGCGUAGGUAUCUAUCCAUGGGUGGGGGAUAACGGUUGGAAACGACUGCUAAUACCGCAUGACACCUGAGGGUCAAAGGCGCAAGUCGCCUGUGGAGGAGCCUGCGUUCGAUUAGCUAGUUGGUGGGUAAAGCCUACCAAGGCGACGAUCGAUAGCUGGUCUGAGAGGAUGAUCAGCCACACUGGGACUGAGACACGGCCCAGACUCCGUACGGGAGGCAGCGAGUGGGGAAUAGUUGGACAAGUGGGGCGCAAGCCUGAUCCAGC